UAGCAAGGUGGGGCUCUCGCUCCUCCCAAGUAACAAGCAGUAAGAUAAGAGGAAAUGGCUCCAAGCACCAGGGGAGUUUUAGAUUGGAUAUUGGCAAAGAUUUCUUCCCCAAAAGGGUUGUUAAUCAUUGGCACAGGCUGCCAAGGAAGUGGCUCAGUCACCAACCCUGAAGGUAUUUAAGACUUGUAUAUGUGGUGCUUAGAGACAUGGUUUACUGGUAUUUUGCAGC